AUCUGAAGCUUUGCUGCUACCAGCAGGCUUCCAAUAACUAUUCAUCAGGGAUUAUUUGCCUUAAUCUUCAGUUAUUAUUUCAGCUGAUGGUGUAAGAUCAUUAGCAGCCACGAUGCCUUGGCAAGAAAGUGGGUAGAGUGAAAGAAACAUAAGACUUCUCUUUGCUGCUAUUUUUCCAGUUUUUCAGUAAGUAACUUCAGGCAUGUGGUUUGUGCAAGGCUUCUGAGGGUUUGUGCAAGCUGUGCAGGAGGGAAAGCAGCAGUCUACCCCUUGGAUGGAUUAACAUCAGAGGCAUAAGCCAUCCUGCAGACCCCUACAACGUCCUGGCUGGGAUGUGGCUGUGGAUGAGAAGAGCUCAGAUACACAAUCACCCAACUUGAUGAGCACGUCCAAGUGUGCCCUGAUAUUUUUGAGGAGACUACUGGGACAAAACUGGAGGCUGGGUGAGCCCAUACCCCAGCUCUGCUUUGUUUAUUCAUACAGAGUUGGCCUUGGGCACUGAACUCAUGAGCACCAAUAAGGGACAGAGCCUUAGGCCUGAGCCUUGCACCAGAGGUUGCUGCACACCCAGCAGUAUGCAUGGUGUGCCUGCUCCUUGCCUGUUGCACCUUGCAGCUUAUACUGAUGCAAGCUGGAGUCAUGCAGGUUCAAGUCAACGGAUUCUUCCAAGAACUCAAGAUUGCAAGGUUUGCUCUCUGCUUUCAGGACAAGAAGGAUGGAUGGACAGACCGACAUUGCUUCAACAGCUUGCACACCACAGCCCCCAGUACAGCCAGGACAUGCCAUGUGCCUGCUGAAAAAUCCUGAGAACACCAGAAAUAAGAAUCAAACAAUGAACGUGACAACCUCUCGUCCUUCACUGGCUGAUGUAAAAAUGACUCUCUGCAGCAGGGACGUGGUUGGUGGGGAUGGUGGGCAUGGGUUGAUGGUUGGAUUUGAUGAUCUUAGUGCUACUUUCCAACCCGUAAUGAUUCUGUGAUCUUAUCAUUUUGUAAACGAGACACAUGGCUCUUUCUGCCCCAUGGCUGGUCCUUUGCAACCUCCAUGUAUCACUGCAUGAACAAACUGCUCCAUUGAAUGACCAGCACCAAACCCAAUCCACCUUGCUGCUUCCCAAGAAGUUUUAAGACAAGAAAGCUCCUCGUGGUGCUCCACAG
ensembl:lncRNA